AACAUAACCUUUAGCCAAACAAGUAUUAAAGGCAAUGCCUGCCCAGUGAGUACAUCUUUAACGGCCGCGGUACCCUAACCGUGCAAAGGUAGCGUAAUCAUUUGUCUAUUAAUUGUAGACUAGUAUGAAAGGCCACAUGAGAGCCAAACUGUCUCUUAUAAUAAAUCAAUUAAACUGAUCUCCUAGUACAAAAGCUAGAAUAACUAUAUAAGACCAGAAGACCCUGUGAAGCUUAAACUAAACUAUUAAACCAACUAAUAACUACUUUCGGUUGGGGCGACCUUGGAACAAAACCAAACUUCCAAACAAAAUGAGCUAUACCUCAUAACCCUAGGCCAACAAGCCAACCAACGACCCAGUAUAACUGAUCAUUGAACCAAGUUACUCCAGGGAUAACAGCGCUAUCUUCUUCAAGAGCCCAUAUCAAAAAGAAGGUUUACGACCUCGAUGUUGGAUCAGGACACCCAAAUGGUGCAGCCGCUAUUAAUGGUUCGUUUGUUCAACGAUUAACAGUCCUACGUG
rnacentral:rRNA from 1 species